CCAUUUCUUGCAUGUUUUUAUGUGAUGUUCUCAUGAUGUUUUAGGGGGUUUUUGGGGAGUAGUUUAUAGUUAUGUUCAGGUGUGUUUGGUCCCUCAUUUGAGUCCACCUGUGUAGGUUCGGAUCCGAGGAACCGAGGACCCCAGCAGUGAGUUCAGCUGCUUCGGUGUUGUCAGAGUCAGCCAGAGGUGAGUGGAACUAAACUUAAUCUUUUAAAUUAAAUGUUUUAUCAUGUUUCAUGCAUCAUGAUUAUGCAAUAGGGUGAUUGCAUUAGUUUCACGAAUAUGCCGCAUUGCAUCAUGUGUUGUUGAUGUGGGUGAAUGUUGGAUGACCCAAUUAGUCCAUGACAGGAAGACCAGGACCCCAUUCUACGGCCUGGCACGGAAAUGAAAGACCAGGACCCCAUUCUACGGCCUGGCACGAUUGUGGACUCGAAGACCAGGAGCCUAGAAGAGGCCCUGGAAUAAUGGUAAGUAAUGUAUGUAUGACAGGAAGACCAGGACCCCAUGCUACGGCCUGGCACUAUGUUAGCUUGGACUAAUUGGUGACAAGUUCACCCAACCCUUAUGUGAAUUGUUUGUGUUAUGAUGCAUUUCAUAGAGCAUAGUAUUUAUGUGUUUU
rnacentral:lncRNA from 1 species